GUCUCUUUGAAGAAAUAAUAAUAAAGAGUUUGGCCUGCUCAGUGAAAUUUUUAACAGCUGCGGUAUUAUAACUGUACUAAGGUAGCAUAAUAAUUUGCCUUAUAAAUUGAGGCUAGAAUGAAUGGUUUGACGAAAAUUAUACUGUCUCUAUUUUAAUUGAUAGAAAUUAAUUUUUAAAGUGAAAAAGCUUAAAUUAUUUAAAGGGACGAGAAGACCCUAUUGAGCUUUAUAUUAGUUAUAAUAAAAUAUUAUUUAUUUGAUUAAAUUAAUAUUAUAUUUAUUAUGUUUAAUUUUGAUUGGGGUGAUCAAGGAAUAAGAUAUAUUAUUUAACUUCCUUAUAAGAAUUGUUUUUUAGAAUAAUUAACCAAUGAUAUUGCUUAUAUGAUAAGUUACCAUAGGGAUAACAGCGUAAUUUUUUUGGAGAGUUCAUAUUAAAAAAAAAGAUUGCGACCUCGAUGUUGGAUUAAAAUAACCAUAUGGUGAAGAGGCUUUAUAUGGUGAAUCUGUUCGAUUUUUAAAAUUUU
rnacentral:rRNA from 3 species